rnacentral:rRNA from 1 species
GUAAGGGCCCACCAAGGCGACGAUCAGUAGCCGGCCUGAGAGGGUGGACGGCCACAUUGGGACUGAGACACGGCCCAAACUCCUACGGGAGGCAGCAGUGGGGAAUAUUGCACAAUGGGGGAAACCCUGAUGCAGCGACGCCGCGUGAGCGAAGAAGUAUUUCGGUAUGUAAAGCUCUAUCAGCAGGGAAGAAGAAAGACGGUACCUGACUAAGAAGCCCCGGCUAACUAC